rnacentral:rRNA from 1 species
GAACGGGUGCGUAACACGUGGGCAAUCUGCCUUAAAGUGGGGGAUAGCUCGCCGAAAGGCGAAUUAAUACCGCAUGUGGCUACCGGAGACAUCUUCGGGACGCUAAAGCCGGGGCAACCUGGCGCUUUUUGAGGAGCCCGCGGCCUAUCAGCUUGUUGGUGGGGUAACGGCUCACCAAGGCGUUGACGGGUAGCUGGUCUGAGAGGACGACCAGUCACACUGGGACUGAGACACGGUCCAGACACCUACGGGUGGCAGCAGUCGAGAAUUUUUCUCAAUGGGGGAAACCCUGAAGGAGCGACGCCGCGUGGAGGAUGAAGGUCUUCGGGUUGUAAACUCCUGUCAUUUGGAACAGUGGUUACGCGUUAACUGCGCGUGACUUUGAUAGUACCAGAAGAGGAAGAGACGGCUAACUUCUGUGCCAGCAGCCCGCGGG